GACGGAACCGUGCGAACGUUGUUCGGAUUCACUGGGCUUAAAGGGCGCGUAGGCGGCUUGCCAAGUCAGGGGUGAAAUCUUUCGGCUCAACCGGAAAACGGCUUCUGAUACUGGCAGGCUGGAGGGAGGUAGGGGCAGAUGGAACUUCCGGUGGAGCGGUGAAAUGCGUAGAUAUCGGAAGGAACGCCGGUGGCGAAAGCGAAUCUGCUGGACCUCCGCUGACGCUGAUGCGCGAAAGCCAGGGGAGCAAACGGG
rnacentral:rRNA from 1 species